CGGCGGGGCCCGGUUGCGCGGGCUGCCCGCUCCGGCAAGCGGGGCCCAGCGAGAGAGCUGAUGACAGCCAAGGAACACGAACUGCAUUGUGGGCACUAGGCAAAAACUGCUAAUGAAGGAUCAAUAGAAAAAGACAGCAUUUGAAAGGAGAAAGAAAAAGUGGCAAAGAAGAUGUAUUAAAUCAACUUGCUCUGCAUUCAUCUCUUCAAUUCAAAACACAAGAUAGGACCACCAAUGCAGAAACAGAUUUUGUUAUUCCUGGAGCAAUCAACAGUAUUGGCAUGCUAACAAUGCCUAAAAGCCUUCCUGAGUAACUGUAUGAGAACACAUCUUCACUUGUUAGUCAGACCUCAAAGGUGCCAAGGGUUCUUGCAUCAGCUUGAAGAGCACUUAAGAAACACCAAAAAUAUCAUCGCAUGAGUGCUGAACACUGGGUGGCUUAGAAAUAAACAUGUUUGUU